UAGUCCACGCCGUAAACGAUGAUUACUCGCUGUAGGCGAUACACGGUCUGUGGCUAAGCGAAAGUUUUAAGUAAUUCACCUGGGGAGUACGAUCGCAAGAUUGAAACUCAAAGGAAUUGACGGGGGCCCGCACAAGCGGAGGAACAUGUGGUUUAAUUCGAUGAUACGCGAGGAACCUUACCUGGACUUAAAUGUAGAUUGCACAGCUUAGAGAUAGGCUUUUCUUCGGACUAUUUACAAGGUGCUGCAUGGUUGUCGUCAGCUCGUGCCGUGAGGUGUCGGGUUAAGUCCCAUAACGAGCGCAACCCCUAUCCUUAGUUGCCAGCGGGUCAUGCCGGGGACUCUGGAGAGACUGCCGGUGUUAAACCGGAGGAAGGUGGGGAUGACGUCAAGUCCUCAUGGCCUUUAUGCCUAGGGCUGCACACGUCCUACAAUGCAACGCACAAAGUGAUGCUAACUCGCGAGAGUACGCAAACCACAUAAAUCGUUGCUCAGUUCGGAUUGCAGG
rnacentral:rRNA from 1 species